CUCCUGUGAUCGUUUCGGCAGAAGAUAUACUAAAAUUGGACCGAUACAAAGAAGAUUACCAUGGCUUAUGCACAAGGAUGGCACACAAAUUCUUGAAACAGAAAAAGGUGCU
rnacentral:snRNA from 1 species